ACAACUUUGAAAGGAUUUCAAGCUUUGAGCCAAGAAAGUCUCUACUUUUCUUUGAAGUCCUUGAGUAAGAGAGCCUAUUGAUUAUCUUCGAUGUUAUGAUAUCAGAAGACACGAGCAGAGGACGGAAGUGAGUUCACCUCGAGUGCUACGAGAGUAAGCUAAGAUCUUCAGGUUGAGCAGGUGAUGGAAUGGAAUGGUGUUGAGCGGGUAUUUCUUUGUCGUUUCAAGUAAUGUAGCCUUGAGUAUACAUCUUCAUAUGUAUAUCUCACACGUUUUCCGUUGCGAAAUACUUUGAUUAUGGUAACUCUACGUUAUGAAGUCAAUGUAUUCAUUUUUGGGUAAUCCCCUUCGAUUAGGUCACCUUAUGUGAAUGUUUUGUAAUUAUUUGAAUGAUCAAAUGUGGUCCUCGUACUUUCUUUUAAUGUCAU